rnacentral:rRNA from 1 species
GACGAACGCUGGCGGCGUGCUUAACACAUGCAAGUCGAACGGAAAGGCCCUGCUUUUGUGGGGUGCUCGAGUGGCGAACGGGUGAGUAACACGUGAGUAACCUGCCCUUGACUUUGGGAUAACUUCAGGAAACUGGGGCUAAUACCGGAUAGGAGCUCCUGCUGCAUGGUGGGGGUUGGAAAGUUUCGGCGGUUGGGGAUGGACUCGCGGCUUAUCAGCUUGUUGGUGGGGUAGUGGCUUACCAAGGCUUUGACGGGUAGCCGGCCUGAGAGGGUGACCGGCCACAUUGGGACUGAGAUACGGCCCAGACUCCUACGGGAGGCAGCAGUGGGGAAUAUUGCACAAUGGGCGGAAGCAUGAUGCAGCAACGCCGCGUGCGGGAUGACGGCCUUCGGGUUGUAAACAGAUUUCGCCUGUGACGAAGCGUGAGUGACGGUAAUGGGUAAAGAAGCACCGGCUAACUACGUG